rnacentral:rRNA from 1 species
UGGAUUCGCUAGUAAUCGCGCAUCAGCCAUGGCGCGGUGAAUACGUUCCCGGGCCUUGUACACACCGCCCGUCAAGCCAUGGAAGCCGGGGGCGCUUGAAGUGCGUUGCCGCAAGGCGCGCCCUAGAGCGAAACCGGUGACUGGGGCUAAGUCGUAACAAGGUAAC